rnacentral:rRNA from 1 species
GAUGAACGCUAGCGGCAGGCUUAAUACAUGCAAGUCGAGGGGCAGCAUAAGUAGCAAUACUUGAUGGCGACCGGCAAACGGGUGCGGAACACGUACGCAACCUUCCUUUAAGUGGGGAAUAGCCCGGGGAAACCCGGAUUAAUACCCCGUAAUAUUAUGAUGUGGCAUCACUUUAUAAUUAUAGAUUCAUCGCUUAAAGAUGGGCGUGCGCCUGAUUAGGUAGUUGGCGGGGUAACGGCCCACCAAGCCUGCGAUCAGUAACUGGUGUGAGAGCACGACCAGUCACACGGGCACUGAGACACGGGCCCGACUCCUACGGGA